rnacentral:snRNA from 1 species
AAAUUGGUGGUCCAGCUGGGA